rnacentral:sRNA from 1 species
UAUAUCGGUCCGGCGCCAAUAGGUUAUCAUUCCUAUUCCCACUUCAGGGAACUUCCCAUUGGCACCAACUUGACUGAUAU